CACGUAGGGCGCGAGCGUUGUCCGGAAUUAUUGGGCGUAAAGAGCUCGUAGGCGGCCUGUUGCGUCCGCUGUGAAAACCCGAGGCUCAACCUCGGGCCUGCAGUCGAUACGGGCAGACUAGAGGUAUGCAGGGGAGAACGGAAUUCCUGGUGUAGCGGUGAAAUGCGCAGAUAUCAGGAGGAACACCGGUGGCGAAGGCGGUUCUCUGGGCAUUACCUGACGCUGAGGAGCGAAAGUGUGGGGAGCGAACAGG
rnacentral:rRNA from 1 species